rnacentral:rRNA from 1 species
AGUGAACGCUGGCGGUAGGCCUAACACAUGCAAGUCGAACGGCAGCACAGUAAGAGCUUGCUCUUACGGGUGGCGAGUGGCGGACGGGUGAGGAAUACAUCGGAAUCUACUUUUUCGUGGGGGAUAACGUAGGGAAACUUACGCUAAUACCGCAUACGACCUACGGGUGAAAUCAGGGGAUCUUCGGACCUUUCGCGAUUGAAUGAGCCGAUGUCGGAUUAGCUAGUUGGCUUGGUAAAGGCCCACCAAGGCGACGAUCCGUAGCUGGUCUGAGAGGAUGAUCAGCCACACUGGAACUGAGACACGGUCCAGACUCCUACGGGAGGCAGCAGUGGGGAAUAUUGGACAAUGGGCGCAAGCCUGAUCCAGCAAUACCGCGUGGGUGAAGAAGGCCUUCGGGUUGUAAAGCCCUUUUGUUGGGAAAGAAAAGCAGCAGGUUAAUACCCCGCUGUUCUGACGGUACCCAAAGAAUAAGCACCGGCUAACUUCGUG